rnacentral:rRNA from 1 species
AACGAACGCUGGCGGCAGGCCUAACACAUGCAAGUCGAACGAGAUCUUCGGAUCUAGUGGCGGACGGGUGAGUAACGCGUGGGAACGUGCCCUUCUCUACGGAAUAGUCCUGGGAAACUGGGUUUAAUACCGUAUACGCCCUUCGGGGAAAGAAUUUCGGGGAAGGAUCGGCCCGCGUUGGAUUAGGUAGUUGGUGGGGUAACGGCCUACCAAGUCUACGAUCUAUAGCUGGUUUUAGAGGAUGAUCAGCAACACUGGGACUGAGACACGGCCCAGACUCCUACGGGAGGCAGCAGUGGGGAAUCUUGGACAAUGGGCGCAAGCCUGAUCCAGCCAUGCCGCGUGGGGGAGGAAGGUUUUUGGAUCGUAAACCCCUUUUGUCAAGGAAGAAGCUCUGACGGUACUUGACGAAUAAGCCU